UUGCUUCAGUUGGCAAGGGAGAUACCUUGGUCAUGAAGGAGGUUUUCCCAGGGUGCGGUCCGUCCGCUGCAUUCCGAAGUGUGUUGACCCCUGAGAUUUCCCCAAAUGUGGGACACCUGACUGCAUAAUUUGUAGCAC
ensembl:snRNA U1 U1 spliceosomal RNA